rnacentral:piRNA from 1 species
UUCCAGGACAUCAUGUGGAAUUGGUCUCUC